GGCCUGCGGUUAGCACACACCCAUCCCUGCGCACUGCUGGUCUGGAAAGCGGGGCUGCUUCUCAGGAAUGAGCUUGAGCCCAGCCAAGCCCCGCGAGGCACUGAAGCUUUAGCUUACCCCGAUCCGAAUGGUCGUGGGCCUCUGGGCUCAAGUUACGACCGAAUUUUUCUGGGAAGCAAGGGACACGUUCAGAAAGAAUCUCAGGAUCACUCUCCGAACUUGGCCUGAGUCUAGGCAAGCAGUGUUACUCGGUUGCCUCGAUCUUGGAGCUGCUGUGUACUGGGGACCGCAAACUAGUUGAGUUAACUAUAUUCCCAGUAGUAGCAUACGGGAUCACAGUACUCGGGACUAGCUGAGCUCAGCUGCUAUAAGUAACAUGACCUGGAAAGAGAGCACUAGCAAGGAAUGAGGAGUGAUAUAGUGACUGGCGGCUCAGAGAUAAUGUCUACAAGUCACCUAAAACCAUUGCAGAUACAGGGAGAUUGGCUGUUAUGAAUUUGGAGAAUUUCUAGUUGUGAAGACUCUGAUGAUUACUAAAGAGUUAAAUGAAAUA